AACGGUCUAUACCUGCGGUACCUGCGGAGGGAUCAUUACAGAGUUCGCGCCCCCCCGGGGCAGACCUCCCACCCACUGUUAUCACUGCCAGCGUUGCUUUGGCGGGCCGCCGGGACCCCCGGCCGCCGGCUCCGGCCGGCGCGCGCCCGCCAGAGGCCCGCCAGACCCUGGAUAUUGGCGUCGUCUGAGCGCUAUUCAAUAGCUAAAAACUUUCAACAACGGAUCUCUAGAUCGGAAGAG
rnacentral:misc_RNA from 1 species